rnacentral:rRNA from 1 species
GACGUAGGGCGCGAGCGUUGUCCGGAUUUAUUGGGCGUAAAGAGCGUGUAGGCGGUCAGGUAGGUCGGUUGUGAAAACUGGAGGCUCAACCUUCAGAGGUCGACCGAAACCCCCUGGCUAGAGUCCGGGAGAGGAGAGUGGAAUUCCUGGUGUAGCGGUGAAAUGCGCAGAUAUCAGGAAGAACACCCGUGGCGAAAGCGGCUCUCUGGAACGGUACUGACGCUGAGACGCGAAAGCUAGGGGAGCAAACGGG